AUGUUUGUGGGGCGCCUCCUUGCUCACGAAAGUUUGGCAAACAGGAUGAAGAUUCAGAGGUUGGGGGUGGAACUAGACACGGCCUGCCCGGUGUGUCAUCGGUUGAAUGAAGACGGCGGCCACAUUUUCCUCAAAUGUAAGAAGGUAAAAGAAUGUCGGAGCAGGCUGGCGUUGGGUGGUCUUAGGGAAAUCUUGGUUAAGCACAAGUCUGCCCAUGAGAUGCUUGGUGAAUUGUGGAAAGCUGAUAGUGCCUCCCAGCUGAGGGCUCUUGUCUUGUGUGGGAGUGGUGGGAUGUCAGGAAGAAAGCCAACACAGGGGAGCCAGUUUCUAGUCCUCAGAGAUGAUUUUGCUGCUGCUGGCGCAGGAACAUCUGUGCACCUGAGAGAUUUACUUCAUUCUGAAGCAGUGGUGUGCCUUGCUGCUAUUGAUGGGGCUAUCAGACUUGGCGCAAACCGAAUUAUUUUCGAGAGUCUGAUGCUCCCAAUUUUGUGA
rnacentral:rRNA from 1 species